AUUGAACGCUGGCGGCAGGCCUAACACAUGCAAGUCGAACGGUAACAGGAAGAAGCUUGCUUCUUUGCUGACGAGUGGCGGACGGGUGAGUAAUGUCUGGGAAACUGCCUGAUGGAGGGGGAUAACUACUGGAAACGGUAGCUAAUACCGCAUAACGUCGCAAGACCAAAGGGGGGGACCUUCGGGCCUCUUGCCAUCGGAUGUGCCCAGAUGGGAUUAGCUAGUAGGUGGGGUAACGGCUCACCUAGGCGACGAUCCCUAGCUGGUCUGAGAGGAUGACCAGCCACACUGGAACUGAGACACGGUCCAGACUCCUACGGGAGGCAGCAGUGGGGAAUAUUGCACAAUGGGCGCAAGCCUUAUGCAGCCAUGCCGCGUGUAUGAAGAAGGCCUUCGGGUUGUAAAGUACUUUCAGCGGGGAGGAAGGGAGUAAAGUUAAUACCUUGGCUCAUUGACGUUACCCGCAGAAGAAGCACCGGCUAACUCCGUG
rnacentral:rRNA from 1 species